UGGGGAAUAUUGCACAAUGGGCGCAAGCCUGAUGCAGCCAUGCCGCGUGUAUGAAGAAGGCCUUCGGGUUGUAAAGUACUUUCAGCGGGGAGGAAGGUGUUGUGGUUAAUAACCACAGCAAUUGACGUUACCCGCAGAAGAAGCACCGGCUAACUCCGUGCCAGCAGCCGCGGUAAUACGGAGGGUGCAAGCGUUAAUCGGAAUUACUGGGCGUAAAGCGCACGCAGGCGGUCUGUCAAGUCGGAUGUGAAAUCCCCGGGCUCAACCUGGGAACUGCAUCCGAAAGUGGCAGGCUUGAGUCUUGUAGAGGGGGGUAGAAUUCCAGGUGUAGCGGUGAAAUGCGUAGAGAUCUGGAGGAAUACCGGUGGCGAAGGCGGCCCCCUGGACAAAGACUGACGCUCAGGUGCGAAAGCGUGGGGAGCAAACA
rnacentral:rRNA from 1 species